rfam:Ovis aries breed Texel chromosome 2, whole genome shotgun sequence.
UCCCUGGUGGCUUAGAGAAUAAAGCGUCUGCCCACAAUGUGGGAGACCCGGGUUCAAUCCCUGGAUAGGGAA